AUACGGAGGGUCCAAGCGUUAUCCGGAUUCAUUGGGUUUAAAGGGUUCGUAGGCGGAUAAAUAAGUCAGUGGUGAAAUCCCGAAGCUCAACUUCGGAACUGCCAUUGAAACUGUUUAUCUUGAAUUUAGUUGAAGUGGGCGGAAUAUGACAUGUAGCGGUGAAAUGCAUAGAUAUGUCAUGGAACACCAAUAGUGAAGACAGCUCACUAAGCUAAUAUUGACGCUGAUGAACGAAAGCAUGGGUAGCGAACAGGAUUAGAAACCCUAGUAGUCC
rnacentral:rRNA from 1 species